rnacentral:rRNA from 1 species
AGUGAACGCUGGCGGUAGGCCUAACACAUGCAAGUCGAACGGCAGCACAGUAAGAGCUUGCUCUUACGGGUGGCGAGUGGCGGACGGGUGAGGAAUACAUCGGAAUCUACUUUUUCGUGGGGGAUAACGUAGGGAAACUUACGCUAAUACCGCAUACGACCUACGGGUGAAAGCAGGGGAUCUUCGGACCUUGCGCGAUUGAAUGAGCCGAUGUCGGAUUAGCUAGUUGGCGGGGUAAAGGCCCACCAAGGCGACGAUCCGUAGCUGGUCUGAGAGGAUGAUCAGCCACACUGGAACUGAGACACGGUCCAGAAUCCUACGGGAGGAAGCAGUGGGGAAUAUUGGACAAUGGGCGCAAGCCUGAUCCAGCCAUACCGCGUGGGUGAAGAAGGCCUUCGGGUUGUAAAGCCCUUUUGUUGGGAAAGAAAAGCAGCAGGUUAAUACCCCGCUGUUCUGACGGUACCCAAAGAAUAAGCACCGGCUAACUUCGUG